CCGUGCGCAUAAACCAAUCUGUCUUACAGAGACGACGGGCAAGUUGCUAGAGAGGAUCAUCCUCAACAGGCUAACCCCGUACUCAGAGGGUAUGGACGCUAUUAACUCGGUGGUAAAGACCGCCGAGAUAGCGAUCCAACAGAAAAGGCGAGGUAUUUGAUACUGUGCGUUAGUGGCACUUGAUGCGAAGAACGCAUUCAACAGCGCAAGCUGGGAUACCAUCGCGCUCUCGUUACACCGGCUUAUAAGCCUGCCGGUCGGCCUGUACCGGAUUUCGGAAAGCUAUUUCCAGCAAGGUUCAAUACCGGUAUUAUGGAACCUUAUGUAUGACGGGGUUAUGCUAAAUAAAGCUAAAAUUCCCUUCUGGUGUUAAGAUCGUCGGCUUCGCCGAUGACGUAACCUUCGAAGUCUACGGAGAGUCAAUUCACUAGGUAGAACCUGGGAGGGAGCUCUCGAUACUACACAUCAAAUUAAUUAUAUACUGUCGUCAUGCAACAAGUAAAUUUUCAACAAGAAAGAACAAUCAACGUAGGCGCCACCUGAAAAGACUAAAUUCAUUUUUGCGUGUUAUUGUUGUUAUAUUGCCUUCAAAAAUUUGCUUGCCAAGAGUUUCGUUUUCGGCUCACACUGACAGCUAGAUUUCGGCUCGGCUUGACACACACAUUUUUCGUAUCUGUUUCUCCCUCCCAGGGUAGAACUUACCGCAGCACACGCGAUCAGCACGGUGGCGGAUUGGAUGAGUGCUAGAGGCCUGGAUCUCGCUCAAAAUAAGACGGCGGUGGUUAUCGUCAACAGCCACAAGUCGGUUCAACAUGCAGUGAUUCACGUGGGUGAUGUCGCGAUCGCAUCAAAUCUGAGUUUGAAGCUCCUUGGGGUCGUACUUAAUAGACGACAAGCUGACCUUCGCCAGCCAUGUCGACUAUGCGUGCAAGAGGGCUUCGACUGCUGUUGCGGCAUUAUCGAGGAUGAUGUCCAACAGUUCCAAGGUGUGUGCAGGAUGACCACUUAAUUCCCUUUUGAAAAUUCCCGAUAUUGUUUUUGUGCGGUAGGCAGAUACCACUCUGAGACACAGCAAGCGGUACGUGCUCUCCAGCUUCCGCAGGUAACUGGUUACCCCCAGAGCUCUCGCCCAGGACGGUCCACCGUACCUAAGAAGAGAUACGGCAACGCCUGCCAGCAUCGUCAUGAAGCAUCGUCAAUUGUAUCCCCUCUUUUAAUGACUGUCUGAUUGUUGAAUUUUGUUUAUUUGCCUUCUUGUUCAAGAUUGCGGAAACAUGCAUAUUGGAACUAUAACUAACCUAAGAUAUUCAUCAUUGGAAAUAAGUGGAAGACCAAAAAUAUGGCCCUAUUUAUGAAGAAUAUAUAGUUUUCAAAAUCUCCUAACUAAGCCACAAUAAGCAAAAUAUUUAUAUCCAGCUAGGUCCUAAAUUACCAAAUAAAAAAAAAACAAUUCAACGAAACAUUUACUUUUAAGAUUUAUAUGGAUACACAAAUCCUGUUACGUAGAUUUAUGUUAUUUUAGCUUUGGAAAAGCAAUAAACGUUUUAUUAACAAUGUUUUUGUGUUGUACAUAGAGUUCUGUUUUUACACGAUCCAUAGCUGUUUUAAAACUUUAAUUCUUAUCUGAAUUAGGAUAGAUUUUGAUAGUAAAAAGAAGUCACACGAUACAAAGUUCUUUAAAAAGGUAUUGUAAAGACAGAAGUCUGUGUAUUUCAAUUAAUACAAGAAUUUGAUUGAAUCCUCUUUUAACCUUCUAACCUACCGUAACUGAAAGUUUGUUCAAAGUUUUCUUGAUAACAAGUGUGGCUUUUUAAAUGAUGACGCGAGCAAAUCCAUUUCACCCAUUUUAGCAGUUACAUAGUUGGAAUUGAAAAAUAUUCCCCCAUCAACCUGUGUAAUUAUACCAUUUCGUUCACUUUCAGUAGUAACCUCAGGGCAGGACAUCCACAUCUACCUAUCACCUGGCCAGAAUAAAAUUAUUCACUCAUGGAUCAUGUCCUAGUGUUUCGCUUUCUCCAGUUCUGAUAUCGUUCUGGCUUUUCCUUCCGAAACCAUCCCAAUCAAGCAGUGCAGUGUAUAGUAGUGUGUGAGAGAGAAAGAAAGUGCUACGGCAGGAACGAACCGAUGAACUGAAGUUUGGUCAGCGUAUGGGGUUCCAAUUAUCUAAGUUACCGCAGCUUACACACUGGUGAUUAGCAUUAACAUUAGUUACCGCCCACGGAUAGUAGAUGAAACCGUGUGGUAUGCGGCAGUGGUUAGAAAACUUAUUUAUUUUGUAAAUAGAUUUGUUAAACUGCAGUUGAAAAAAAAAAUACAACUGGUAAAAGUUAAACCAUUGAGCUUUCACUAUUCCUGUAUGAAAUACAAAACAGAGGAACAUGAACCUUAUAAGCACUUGGAUAAAAUGACAAAUGUUUUGAAGAACGAAGGUUAGUCUAAUAUAAAUCAAAAAUUAAUUAAAUGUUGAAUACUUCGACGCUUUAUGUUAAGAACAAUUUAGUAACACAUGAUGUGCAAAAAAAAUGUUAGAUUAAAAUGCACUAUCAGAAAUAAAUAUAAAGCAAAGCUAAUUUUACAUACAAAAUCGUCAUAUAUGGAGAUAGGUAUAAUUAAUCACAUCAUUAUUCAGGACUUAAAAUAUCCUUAAUAAAGCAAAAAAUAUCUGGUGAAAUAUGAACUCAAUCGAAUCACUAUGAGUCAUACACCCUUGUUCUUGUUUACGGACAAACGAUACUUUCGAACGAAUGCGAUUCGUUCGAACUGUUUCCCCAUUUGAUUUUGCUGGCGUAAACGAGAAUGCGCUUCAACUUUCGUUUGAAAGCGUGUUCGUACGUAAACAAGAAUAUGGGUGAUAAUUUCAAUCCCCCAACAUGACUAUUUUGUAAGAAUAUUUAGCCUGUCUUCAUACUUAUUUCAACCAGUGUAUCUACCGGUAUUAGCUCCCUUUUUCGAACAAUACAAAAUUUCAAAUUUUCGGUCAUCAUCGAAUUUAGCAAACAAUUUAAACCCGACAACGACGGUGAAUCAUCUUUUAGACUAAUUCCUUCUCUAAAAAUUACGCUUAUUUUGAAUCCCAAAUCAUACCAUGAUUCAUGUUUAAAUAAAUCUGCUUCGUAUGGAAUUUUGGUUCAUCUUGUUUAUCACUAAAUAAGAAAACAAAAUAAAUUACCAGAAAGCUUC